CACCAGCAUAUAAGCAACAGACUCAGGCUUUGAACUCAUGCAUCUGGUUGCAGAUUCCCCAGAUCAUCUCCAAGCAAGUGUCCAGAGGGAAGGGAACUGGGCUGGCCCCGUCUUUUUCUUCAGGCACAGCAAGCUCCAGGUUUAGCCCUCCCGGAUGAUAAUGCUACAUUUUGCAAUGCUACAUUUCCCGCCCAGCCAGCUCUGGACUUCUCUGCAGUCGGUCCAACUCUGGUUUCCUGCCUACAGGAGGUCUUCUCUGACUUCCGACAGUAGGUGACCCUUCUGACUCACAGUUCCACUGCUGGGAAGUGUCGCCAGAGCCUCUGCCCACCCCCUCAGCAUCCCUUCAGGCCAACGGUGAUGAGCCAAGGGAAUCAAGCAGGGAGAAACAUGGGCUGCAAAUUCAGGCUUCCUAGAGGCAUUGGCAUUUGCAAAGACUAUCUGAACAUUGACCUAAAGUUCUGGGGGUGGAAGAUACAAAGUUCUGGACCUCCAGUGCUAACCCCCAGCACCACCCCAGCAGCUGUGCUUGGUUCCGUGGGAGAAGAGGCAUUAUUAACCCAUCCUGCUGGCGGAUGGCCCAGCCACACUCUCUAAUGCUGGCUUGGAGACAGAGCCCAGUUCCACCCACCAACGGGAGCUCAGAAUCCCAGAGAGGGUCCACUGGGUUACAGACUCAGGAGAUCUAAGCUCAGGCAUGAGCUCAGCCUGACUUCCUCUGUUAUAGGAGAAGACAGACUUAGCCAUGGAGGAAACGAGAGUUUGUUAUAAAUAGCAAAGAAGGGAGAGAAUUGCUGUGGAUUACAAACACCCCAUCGGUCUUAAUAAAUAAAACUAUUUUCAGUUUCGAAUGAUAA